rnacentral:rRNA from 1 species
AUUGAACGCUGGCGGCAGGCCUAACACAUGCAAGUCGAGCGAGCGGCGGACGGGUGAGUAAUGUCUGGGAAACUUCCUGAUGGAGGGGGAUAAAUACUGGAAACGGUAGCUAAUACCGCAUACCAUCAGAUGUGCCCAGAUGGGAUUAGCUAGUAGGUGGGGUAACGGCUCACAUGGGCGACGAUCCCUCGCUGGCCUGAGAGGAUGACCAGCCACACGGGAACGGAGAAAAGGUCAAGACUCCUACGGGAGGAGGAAGUGGGAAAUAUUGCACAUGGGGCGAAAGCCUGAGGCAGCCAUGCCGCGUAGAUGAAGAAGGCCUUCGGGUUGUAAAGUACUUUCAGCGGGGAGGCGUUACCCGCAGAAGAAGCACCGGCUAACUCCGUGCCAGCCGCCGCGGUAAUAC